CGCCCUUAGAGUUUGAUCCUGGCUCAGGAUGAACGCUGGCGGCGCGCCUAACACAUGCAAGUCGAACGGCACCCAUCUUCGGAUGGAAGCGAGUGGCGAACGGCUGAGUAACACGUGGAGAACCUGCCCCCUCCCCCGGGAUAGCCGCCCGAAAGGACGGGUAAUACCGGAUACCCCGGGGUGCCGCAUGGCACCCCGGCUAAAGCCCCGACGGGAGGGGAUGGCUCCGCGGCCCAUCAGGUAGACGGCGGGGUGACGGCCCACCGUGCCGACAACGGGUAGCCGGGUUGAGAGACCGACCGGCCAGAUUGGGACUGAGACACGGCCCAGACUCCUACGGGAGGCAGCAGUGGGGAAUCUUGCGCAAUGGGGGGAACCCUGACGCAGCGACGCCGCGUGCGGGACGGAGGCCUUCGGGUCGUAAACCGCUUUCAGCAGGGAAGAGUCAAGACUGUACCUGCAGAAGAAGCCCCGGCUAACUACGUGCCAGCAGCCGCGGUAAUACGUAGGGGGCGAGCGUUAUCCGGAUUCAUUGGGCGUAAAGCGCGCGUAGGCGGCCCGGCAGGCCGGGGGUCGAAGCGGGGGGCUCAACCCCCCGAAGCCCCCGGAACCUCCGCGGCUUGGGUCCGGUAGGGGAGGGUGGAACACCCGGUGUAGCGGUGGAAUGCGCAGAUAUCGGGUGGAACACCGGUGGCGAAGGCGGCCCUCUGGGCCGAGACCGACGCUGAGGCGCGAAAGCUGGGGGAGCGAACAGGAUUAGAUACCCUGGUAGUCCCAGCCGUAAACGAUGGACGCUAGGUGUAGGGGGACGAUCCCCCCGUGCCGCAGCCAACGCAUUAAGCGUCCCGCCUGGGGAGUACGGCCGCAAGGCUAAAACUC
rnacentral:rRNA from 1 species